GACAGAGGUGCCGAGCGUUAGGCGGAAUCACUGGGCUUAAAGCGUGUGUAGGCGGGUCGUUAAGUGUCUUGUGAAAUCCCCCGGCUCAACCGGGGAAUGGCUGGGCAUACUGGCGAUCUUGAGCAGUCUAGGGGCAGAUGGAACAAGUGGUGGAGCGGUGAAAUGCGUAGAUAUCACUUGGAACGCCAAAGGUGAAAACAGUCUGCUGGGGACUUGCUGACGCUGAGACGCGAAAGCGUGGGGAGCAAACAGG
rnacentral:rRNA from 1 species